AGGUUCCUGUCUAGGAUACCACAUUGCAUGUAAUCAUCAUGUCUCCUUAUUCUCCUCUGUCUCUUCUUCAUAAUCAACAUGGCAUAAUCAGCAGGAUCCAGAGUGCCUGACCUCCAUCACUGGCAGUGCUGUGGAUUCAAUUAAGAUACCUACAAAAGUCCAUUGCUUUUUUUUUCUUCUCCGUGGCUUAUGGUCAUGUUGGGUGGUCAAAAGAGGUGGUCCUGCAUAUCUCCAGUUACUCCAUGGCCCCCCAAAUGCUUCUGCCUGACCAGUUGUCAACAAAGGAUGCAUUAGGCAUUGGGAGGAGGACGUGCCAUCCUUGUAAAGUAUGGGAACUAAUGUCCCAAGAGUCAGAACUAUGUUCAAAACUGCCCAUGAAAACCAAAGAAUUGCCUGUGAAUG